GCACAAUGGGGGAAACCCUGAUGCAGCCAUGCCGCGUGUGUGAAGAAGGCCUUCGGGUUGUAAAGCACUUUCAGUAGGGAGGAAGGUAGUGUAGUUAACACCUGCAUUAUUUGACGUUACCUACAGAAGAAGCACCGGCUAACUCCGUGCCAGCAGCCGCGGUAAUACGGAGGGUGCGAGCGUUAAUCGGAAUUACUGGGCGUAAAGCGCAUGCAGGUGGUUUGUUAAGUCAGAUGUGAAAGCCCGGGGCUCAACCUCGGAACUGCAUUUGAAACUGGCAGACUAGAGUCUUGUAGAGGGGGUAGAAUUUCAGGUGUAGCGGUGAAAUGCGUAGAGAUCUGAAGGAAUACCAGUGGCGAAGGCGGCCCCCUGGACAAAGACUGACGCUCAGAUGCGAAAGCGUGGGGAGCAAACAGGAUUAGAUACCCUGGUAG
rnacentral:rRNA from 1 species